GUCUACAGCCAUACCACCCUGAAUGUGCCCGAUCUCGUCUGAUCUCGGAAGCUAAGCAGGGUCGGGCCUGGUUAGUACCUGGAUGGAAGACCACCUAGGCAUACCAGGUGCUGUAGGCA
rnacentral:rRNA from 1 species